UCAGGACGAACGCUGGCGGCGUGCUUAACACAUGCAAGUCGAGCGGAAAGGCCCUUCGGGGUACUCGAGCGGCGAACGGGUGAGUAACACGUGAGUAACCUGCCCCUGACUUCGGGAUAAGCCUGGGAAACCGGGUCUAAUACCGGAUAUGACCUGCCACUGCAUGGUGUGCGGGUGGAAAGUUUUUUCGGUUGGGGAUGGGCUCGCGGCCUAUCAGCUUGUUGGUGGGGUAGUGGCCUACCAAGGCGACGACGGGUAGCCGGCCUGAGAGGGCGACCGGCCACACUGGGACUGAGACACGGCCCAGACUCCUACGGGAGGCAGCAGUGGGGAAUCUUGCGCAAUGGGCGGAAGCCUGACGCAGCGACGCCGCGUGGGGGAUGACGGCCUUCGGGUUGUAAACCUCUUUCAGCAGGGACGAAGUUGACGUGUACCUGUAGAAGAAGCGCCGGCUAACUACGUGCCAGCAGCCGCGGUAAUACGUAGGGCGCGAGCGUUGUCCGGAAUUAUUGGGCGUAAAGAGCUCGUAGGUGGCUUGUCGCGUCUGCCGUGAAAGCCCAUGGCUUAACUGUGGGUCUGCGGUGGAUACGGGCUGGCUAGAGGUAGGUAGGGGCAAGCGGAAUUCCUGGUGUAGCGGUGAAAUGCGCAGAUAUCAGGAGGAACACCGGUGGCGAAGGCGGCUUGCUGGGC
rnacentral:rRNA from 1 species